rnacentral:lncRNA from 1 species
GGCGGCUCCUCCCAUGGCGCCAUUGCAAGCUCCCCUCCAGACCGGUUCCUUGGUUUCCUCGAAUCCCAGCAGCGAGCAGACGUCGUCCCCAUGGCGGGAGCUCCUUUCUCCCCACGCUCCAGUACCUCGCCGUGGGAUCCCCCUCUCCUCCUUGCUCCGGCAUCGACAUGGCCAGGGACACAACCUGCCGCAUCCUCCUGCUGUUCACGUGAGAAACCGAGGAGGAAGAAGACCUCCCUGAGCCAAUGACAUGUGGGCCCAGUGCCAAUGUGAGUGUGCACACUAAUUACAGAUUUUUGUGUUGUGUUCUAAAAUUCAUAUCUCGCGUUUUAGAGCUCCUAAAAUCGUGAAAUUUGUUUGGUUGUCUUCCUUAUGAAAUUCUCUAACUAUUGAAUCUAUAUGUUGGUAUGUUUUAGUGGAAAAGUUUUUCUGUAGAAAUUCGUAUUUGAAAAGUGGUUUAGAGAAUAAACGAACUUGCAUCUCUCCAUAGUUUUAAUUAUAAAAAUCCUAAAAUGAUGAAACUUGUUUUGUUAGUUAGAUGUUGUCAUACCCCAUCAAGGAAAAAUAUAAAACUUAUAUGUUGUUCACUGUUUUCUUGGUGUGUUAAUUAAAACAAGUUAAAUAGAGAAAAUAAGGUUUAUUUGCUUGUUAUUUUUGGAUCUGUAGCUCUGGUGCUCCAAAUAGGUUGAAAUUUUUAAAGUAGACUCUUGGUGUGAUGUUUGGUGACUGGUAAAGAUUUCAUGAAUUGUUGUGCAUGUAUGAUUAAGUUAGUGAUUUAACUUGUUUAAUGCACCUUAAGUAGUUUUAAAUGAUUUAAAAAUAAUGUAUAGAUGCAAAAAUGUAAAAUGGUGUUCCACUGUCCUUGCAUGAUAUUAUAGUAGCCUAAUAAAACUUAAUAUGGUCAUGAAUCCACAGAAAAUAAUUAGUUUUAGAUUUAACUUGCUCUCACAUGCUUUAUUGCAUUAACAAAUUGUUAUUUUUGUAUUAAAUAAAAUAUAAAACCUGGGCAUGUGAAAUUUAUACAUUAUUUAUAAUGGGUCAUUACCUAUGCCUCAUAAAAAUUACAGCCCCAAAUUAGAUAGUUUCAUUUGGUGCUAAAAUAACACCUAUUUUAUAAUUAUAAGAACAAUUAGUGGAAAAUUAGAAGUAAACAAGGGCAUGCAUGUUUCUUGAAAUACUUAAGUGAAUUGAUAUAAAUUGAAACUUAAUAACUAAGUCAUAAUGAUUUAAACUUAAGACAUUGGUGAUAGUGUCUCUCCAUGAUUUUAAUUGAUGAUUGAGUUGAGUGCUAUUGUGCUAGCAAACUGUAAUUCCUGCACGUACAGUUUUUGUCGUGCGGUUAAUCUAGUAAUGUAAAGUGUGUUUUCUGUAGAUAUGUGAUAUAUAAAAGUUAUAAUUAAAUUGUAUAUCUAGCUCUUCCAAAAAUUUCAUGAGCUAAGGAUUAAUGGUUUAGAAGUUAUACUUUUCACAAAUUCAGUACCGGAAUCUGUCCAAUUUCUGAACAGAUUUCAGAGAUUGCAAUGGUUGCUUAAGUUAAUUUUGAAAUAAGUUAUUGGUGGUCACAAGAAAGUUGUAGAUAACUUUAUUAUCUUACUUGUGUUAAAAUUUGACAGCCGUAAGUCUGAUCGUUUAGAAGUUAUGCUUUUCGCAAGUUUAGUAACUGAAUCUGUCCAAUUACUGUACAGAUUUCAGAGGUCGCAUUGUUUGAUUAAGUUCAGUUUAGAAUCAGUCCUUGUCAAUUAUAAGAAAGUUGUAGAUAAUGUUCUUAUCUUACUUGUGUUAAAUUUUCAUGACAAUAAACCUGAUAGUUUGAGAGUUAUGAAUUUUAUAAGAGGAUUGUUGUAUUCUGUCCACUGUCAGAGCAGAUUUAGAAAACUGAAUUGUUUGAUUUGGUUAAACAUAGAAUCACUUCUUGGUUAUUAUAAAAGUUAUGUAGUACUUUUCCUAAGAUUUCCAAAAAGUCUGGGAUCACUCUUUUUGGUGAUCUGAAGAUUUAGUUAGGGAUGUUUGAAGUGUGAAGUCUGAAUCUGUCCAAUUCUGGACAGCAAAGCCUGCUAGUGUCUUUUGUCCUUAGUUAAAUAUUGAAUCACCUUGAGAUGUUUAUAAAUUAAAUGUAGACAAUUUUAUUACCUUUCCAGAAAGUCUAGGAUCAAUUUGUUUGGAUGUCUGAACCUGUAGUUGUGAAUUUUUAAAGUCGCAAGUCUGAAUCUGUCCAAAUCUGGACAGAGCUGCUGUGUUAGCACAAUUCGACCUUGCUAAGAGUCUAAUCAUAUUGAGAUGAUAAUACCAAAGUUGUAGACCGUUUCCCAAGCUUUCCAAAAAGUAUUUGUUCACUAUUUUUGGAUAAAUAUUUGAAGAGUUAUGCCUGAAACAAGUAACUGUUGUGUUACUGUCCAAAAAUCUGCAAGUGUUUAAUUGAUUGUUGAGUUGACCCUUUUUGCUAAAAAUGUUUGGUUAGCCCUUAAUUAAUAUAGACUUGCCAUGGCUAAGUUGAGAUAACAUAUGUGUCCUGUUUUAUAUGUUUCUUUCUUUAGUUGAUUGUGAAGUCGUAUUUGUGUUGCGUAAGUAUCUAAAAUGUUGUCGUCUUUUUAAUGGUGUUAAUGAUGAACGCAGAUAACGUACGACUAGCUAGCGCUUGCGUAUAGUCGUUGCGGUGCCUUACGAUUUAAUGAUUAGUUUGCUACCGUCUGUUUUGGGAUUGUCUUAUAAUAUAUUUCAUCAUAUUCAUACAUAUGCAUCAUGCAUCUCAUUUAGGACCGAGAGAUGAUGAUCGUGCAAGUGAUGUGGUGCCAACCACAAGAUGCAGUUGGUGGACGACCUGAAGAAUGAUGGACUUAACCAGUGGAUGCUCGCCAAGCGAGCACCUCACCCAGCAAACACUAUCUAAGUGUUAAAUUAAAGGCAAGCCCCGGUUAUAUGCAUAACCGUUAUAUAUGCUAUUUUACUACACUUAAUGUUUGUAGGCUUGUACCGUACACUUAAGUGUAGGAGUUGCCUGAAACCCUAGUUGCAUGAACUCAAGAUUCCUUUUGAGAUGGAUACUAGUAUGAUAGGUCGAGUAGCUGCUAUGCUAAAUCAGGAUCUCGGUAGAAGUCGAGUGAUUUUUCUAGCACUCGCGCGAGGUCAGGAAUUGGUUGUAUCCAUUUUUGAUAACAGAAUGGUGAUGGUCUGUGGACACGGAUCCAUGGGGAUGCGUUGUCUAUGAGACAAAAUUGGAAUAAGGAUUAACGUGCGGAUACCUGUGUCAAGCGUUUGAAUGUACUAAACACAUGUCGGGAAAAAUGGUAACCGGUAAACCUAGUACCUGAGUGAAGCCGGGCGCGGACUUUAUCCCUCAUGCGACCUGAGACUGGGUCUCCCAUUCUAGAUAUGGUGGGUACAAGUGCGGCCACUGCACGACGGCAGUCGGGGUCAGUGGAGCAUUGUAUGCCAAGGCGGUGAGGCCUGGACGCGAACGGGGAAUCGAUGGGGACGGUUGACAUGUGUGGGGACGGAGUGCCCUGACAUGUCGUGUGUUUAGGUUUACCUUGCAAGGAUAAAACUCGAUUCGAAUCGUCUGCUUCUCGCAGCUAAUGAGACUGCUUGAUCCAUUGUACUGCAUUGAGUAAUAAGUGGAAAUGAGUUGACUGGCAAAAGAUGUUGAUUGAUAAAAUGUUUGAUACCAUGUAUGAAUAGCUAGGUACUCAUCUAGUUUAACAGGAUCAUACUCAAACUUGAAAAGCUAAAACUUGAUUUUAGACUCAGCUAGUGCUUUUGGCAAACCAAACCCCUCAGCCAAACAGCUGCAUGUCUAGAGGUAGAGGAGUAGACUCCUCACACCGGGUAAGUCUAGCUGAGUAUUAGUAUACUCAGCCUUGCUUGUGGCAUAAUUUUUGCAGGUACCUCCUUGAUUUGGUUGAUGGUGUGACUUGGCCUCCAUCCCUGCCACCGGGAUAGACGGUCGAGUGGGUUAUUGCUUCCGCAGGAGAGGACCAGGAGGAGUAGCGUGGCCAGGCUUCGCCAUGUUACUCGGUUCUUCUCCGUUAGUUAUUUCCGCUGCAUUAAAAACUAUGGUUACUAUUUCUGAAACUCCGAUAAUGUAAUCACUAUUGAUACUUAUUAAAUUUGUGGUAUUAUGUUUUAUUGUAUUUCUCUGUGCCUCACCUUCGUGUGAGCUAGUGGUAUUCGAUCCUGGAUAAGUGGCUUUAUCGGACUAGAUCCGAGGGACUGACGGGUUAUUCCGGUUUAAGUGUGUUGCUGCCUUUAAGGGUGCGACUUGGGCACUUAAGCUAGAAUAAUCAGGGCGGUUCCGCCACAGCUGGUAUCGGAGCGAAUACCAGUACAGAGAAGCCAAUAAGUCAUGAUUACCAACUUUUCAAAAGUAAAACUUGCUUAGAAACCAAGUUGGAUAGAUAUCAGGACGAUAAGGAUAGACCUAGGACGUGAAGCCUUAGGAAAUAGAUGGGUAGCUAGGUGGCUAUUUAUAUAGGCCAUAAAGGCUACUACUACUAUUAAUAAGGAUGUUGUAGAAACAUCCGCAAAACUAGUUAGGUCUGAGAAGAUGACUAGAAUGAGCAUGCAUCAUGAUUGUCGCAUCAUUGUCUCUUGUGCACCAACAUGCUCUUCUCACCUUUAUUCCAAUAAUAAGAACUUGUUAAUAAUGUAAUGUACUGCUAUGUUAGAAAUGUCUUACCUCGUGUCAGAUUGCUAAGUCUUGUUGGGUCGUGUUAUGUGUUUCUUUUGCCUUGCUAUCUAGGUGGUAUGGUAAUUGUCCUACCCUUUUUGCAAAAAAUGUUGUUUGUCCUGCUCAUGAGAAGACCCCCCUCCUCCAAACAACCUUGAGUUUAGCAAGUGAAACCUCAAAAAAAACAUGCUUGAGUUGGUAUUUUCUAGCCCUCGUGUGUUUACCCUUGAAUUUACACCUGCAUAGCUUAUAGACCCCCACAGCUUGACCGCUAGACCAACCCAAGUCUCCUUGUGCACUUGUUUAUGUCAAAAAAAAGUUUAUUGUCUGUUCACGCAAACCAUGUCUAGCCUCACAUUCUUUUUUUGGAAACCUUGUCCAAAUUACUCAUUAAAUACUCCUCUGGUCAACCUGGAAGCCAUCUGGGUUGAUGACCUCUCGUUUCACCUGGAUCUGGUAAUCUUUUACUUGUGAAUCAUGUUGUGACUUUAUCAUCCGAAUCUCUGGAUCAUUCAUCGAGAUCUACCCCGUCAUCUGGUUAUCUGCUAUAACCUGUUCUCAUGUAUCAAAUGUGGAUCAGUCUAAUAUCUCAUUAUGAUCGUUCUCAUACUCUUCUCUCUGAUGAUCAUGAAUCUGUUUUAUCGAUUUUAUCAAUAGAUAAUGUAUCCAUUUGGUCCAAUGGAUGUCGUUGUUGUCUUUGGUUCUCUCAUGUCUCUAAAAACUCAACGAUCUUGAUCUCAUGGUUGGUUCCUCCUCAUAUCAAAUGUCGUAUCAAUCUUGGACUGAUAAUCCUCGUGUUGAUCAUAAAAUAGUUCUCUAAGUUGAAGAAAAUUCUCAUGUGAUGCUCUUUUGCUAAUAAUCUUUACUUCAACUCCGAUCACAUUCUUAUUUUCUGAGCCAUACUCUCAUGGGCUCCAUCUAUCUGUGCUAUGUGGAUUUCUUAUUGGUUACGUUGGUAAUGGUGUUAUGACUAACGACCAAUGGUGCCGCGACGAAACCGAGAGCCUUCUAUGGUGCACACAUGGUCGAGCUGCUCGGCACGCGCUGGUAUCACAGUUAAUAGUCGUGAUCCAUUAUGGGACUACACCAAGGAGCUAUCUUUUGUGGACAUUCUCUCAAAGUGAUCGCCACAUUUUGUCUCAAUAUGUCGCGAUAUUCUAUCCAAAUUUAUCUUCAGUAUCUUGUCAGAUGACAUCUCAUGAAUUUGCAUCUAUCUUCAAUUUGGGAGUUACAUGCCUCUCUACCCUUAAAGAUCCUCAUUUGAAUCUCGGGACGAGAUUCCUUUAAGGGGGGAAGGCUGUGACACCCCAGGUGUCUAUUUCGUGUUAUGUCGGGAGAUUCAUCCUAAUCUCGGAUGCUUAGUGAAAAUUUCUAUUUCUCGAUCACAUCUAUCUCCAUUCAUCAAGUUACUCAUGAAUGUUUCACUACGUUUGGAAUUAUUCAAUCUCAAGAACAGCCAAAUUUAGAGCCUGUUAAAAACUUUUGUUUCUUGGAGCAAAUGCAAAUUCGAAAGUCAAUCUCGUCUCGCAACUCCCGUCCAGACUCUCGAUAGUUGUUAUGUUAUCCAAUCGGUGUCUGAAUCCGCUUUCUCGAUAGUCGGUCUACGUCCAAAUACAAAAUCUGAAUCCGCAUUCUCCAGCGGCAUCUCUAUUGUGUUAAUCUCUAAUAAAUUCUUAUAUAAAUCAACUUGUUAUCUUUAUGUCAUCAUUCAUCUCUAUCUAUCAAGUGUAUUCUAAAGAUUUCUCAAGGCUUGAACCAAAUAUUCGUAUAAAAUUAUAAAUCCUACGCUUGCCUGAGACUGCUCGAGUAAAUAAAAGCAAAUUUAGAAAUUCAACCAAGUUAUGGCAACUUUCCCAAAAUACUCUAAAUCAACUCUACAACAAAAGUUAUUAAGGGUUCAUGUAGAGAAAAUACCAAGAAAAUGUUGAGAAAUACUUCGAUUGCUUUAAAAAUAUAAAUUGAAGCUUUAUAACUAUACUACUUUGACCAAAGUGAAACUUUGGUCUAUAUUCGAGAUAUGAGGUUUGACUUUUAAUAAAAGUUGGAGAACAGGUGUAAUACAACAAGUUUUAUAUUUAAACCAUGCCUUGAUUCAAUUUCUAAGUAUCUCAAACAGUGCCAUCAAGACAGAAUAAAAAUCUGAUUUCUGAAUUCGAAUUCUUCUAAGUCUGAAAUCAGCAUCGUUCGGGUCGACGUCUCGCGUUCCCAAAUUUUUGUUAAACAACUCAAGUUUUUCCAAAUAUAAAAGUUGUUAAUAACUAAUAGGGGCACAACAUAUUAAAAGAUGGCAUUCAUCCAAUUUUGUUUGACAUGCUUUGACAUUCAGUUUUCACGAGUUUCCACUGAUUUCUGAGCCAUUGACAAACCAGUUUUCGUGGGUCUAUAACUCUCUAACCAGUGUCCGAAUCACCUCAAAUCCUAUACAAGAUUUGUAGAGUAUACAUCAAGUAAGAUAUUUUGUGCAGCAACCGAGAUCCGAAUCCAAGCAGAAGAUGCCAAAAACAUGCAGCCAAAGUCGCUCAGAACCACACAAGCAGCGCUCGCCCACACGCUACUGUCUGCUUUUGUGCAGACCUGGCCACCGUCGCCCAUGGCCAGUAGUUGUCGCCGCCCUCUAGCCACUGCCUGCCUUGCUAAGCCGGCCAGUAGCUGCUCCAGCCGCGGUCUUUAAAAUGGACAACGUCCCUCCUGCACGCGCUCGCCCACUGCUCCAUUUCUAUCAGGCGGCUCCUCCCAUGGCGCCAUUGCAAGCUCCCCUCCAGACCGGUUCCUUGGUUUCCUCGAAUCCCAGCAGCGAGCAGACGUCGUCCCCAUGGCGGGAGCUCCUUUCUCCCCACGCUCCAGUACCUCGCCGUGGGAUCCCCCCUCUCCUCCUUGCUCUGGCAUCGACACGGCCAGGGACACAACCAGCCGCAUCCUCCUGCUGUUCACGUGAGAAACCGAGGAGGAAGAAGACCUCCCUGAGCCAAUGACAUGUGG